GAUGAACGCUGGCGGCGUGCCUAAUACAUGCAAGUCGAGCGAACAGACGAGGAGCUUGCUCCUCUGACGUUAGCGGCGGACGGGUGAGUAACACGUGGAUAACCUACCUAUAAGACUGGGAUAACUUCGGGAAACCGGAGCUAAUACCGGAUAAUAUAUUGAACCGCAUGGUUCAAUAGUGAAAGACGGUUUUGCUGUCACUUAUAGAUGGAUCCGCGCCGCAUUAGCUAGUUGGUAAGGUAACGGCUUACCAAGGCGACGAUGCGUAGCCGACCUGAGAGGGUGAUCGGCCACCCUGGAACUGAGACACGGUCCAGACUCCUACGGGAGGCAGCAGUAGGGAAUCUUCCGCAAUGGGCGAAAGCCUGACGGAGCAACGCCGCGUGAGUGAUGAAGGUCUUCGGAUCGUAAAACUCUGUUAUUAGGGAAGAACAAAUGUGUAAGUAACUGUGCACGUCUUGACGGUACCUAAUCAGAAAGCCACGGCUAACUACGUG
rnacentral:rRNA from 1 species